rnacentral:rRNA from 1 species
CCCUUAGAUGUCCUGGGCCGCACGCGCGUUACACUGAUGCAUUCAACGAGCUUAUAACCUUGGCCGAGAGGCCUGGGCAAUCUUGUUAACGUGCAUCGUGAUAGGGAUAGAUUAUUGAAAUUAUUAAUCUUGAACGAGGAAUUCCUAGUAAACGCAGAUCAUCAAUCUGCAUUGAUUACGUCCCUGCCCUUUGUACACACCGCCCGUCGCUACUACCGAUUGAAUGGUUUAGUGAGAUCUCCGGAUUGGCUCUGUAGGUCCCGCAAGGGAUUUAUUAGUAGCCAAGAAGCUGCUCAAACUUGAUCAUUUAGAGGAAGUAAAAGUCGUAACA